AGCUAAGAUUCUAAUUUAAACUAUUCUCUG
rnacentral:piRNA from 1 species